rnacentral:tRNA from 1 species
GUUAGAGCACCACCUUGACAUGGUGGGGGUCGUUGGUUCGAAUCCAAUCGAGCCUACCA